GACAUCCGAUUCCAGGGGGUCGAUAUCUUCGGAUUUCGAGGUGUCGCCAGACUCGUCUCGAUUUCACCUUCCCUAUCGCCUGGGUAAUAAGGAAACGUAAUCAGGAAAAAUCCCCGAUUCAAUUAAGCCGCGGAAUUAACUCGCAUACCAGCUAUCAAGAGUAUUAUGCAAACGCGGCGUAUGAAAGUGGCACCGAUUACAACUCGGCAGUAUACAUUAUUAUAAUAAAUUCUCACCCAUGAAGUGGACCACCGCCACUUCGAUUUUCUAUUAAUGGACCUUCAGAUUGGUGCGGAGGAAUUUUAAAGGACAGGGAUCGUCAUUAAAAUGGCUCCAAGUGAGGCUUGCCGAGGUCGAUAUGCGAUGCAGUAGGUAUUCCGUUUCCUAUUAUUAUUAAUUAUUAAAAUAAAUUCUCACCCAUCAAGUGGUCGACCGCCGCUUCGAUUUUCUACUAAUGUACCUUCGGAUUGGUGCGGAGGAAUUUUAAAGGACACGGAUCGUCAUUAAAAUGGCUCCAAGUGAAGCUCGCCGAGGUCGAUAUUCGAUGCGAUUGGUGCGGAGGAAUUUUAAAGGACACGGAUCGUCAUUAAAAUGGCUCCAAAUGAGGCUCGCCGAGGUCGAUAAGCGAUGGAGUAGGUAUUCCAUCUCCUUGUUCUUCGGCUCUGCGAAGUGACGAGGAGUCAUCCUCUGGGAGUCAGGAAAUCAUCUGUGAAUCGUAAUGAGCGCAGUGGAUUAUGCGAAACUGUCCGAUCGUGAAUGCAGCCUGAUUGGCGCAAAAUGGCGGCGGAUCUUAUCGUGGAGUGCGUAGGUGUUGAUUGAUCGCCGAUUUUGUAUUUUUUUUUUUUUAUCACCGAGACUUCCUUAUUAUCAUUUACCGACCCUAUACUGGGACCGGUUCGACCGAGUCUGGGACAAGUUCGCUCGUAAAAGUCGAGCUUUCCGAGUUACGCAAGGAGGCGAAGGGGGCGAAGAGGCUCCUGGAACAAUUGGAAAAGUGAUCCCCCGGAAAAGAGGAAAGUCGCCUUUUUUCUUCACCCCUUUCCUCCUCCUCCUCUCGCCGUUUACACGCGAAUCGCGAAACUAAUGGCGCCGAUCUUCGUCCCACUCGAAAGAAAUGGAUUCGCCAUUAGUCGAAGACCCGAGGUGAGAUGGCCACUCGUAAAGGAGACCUCUUGGCCGAUUACAGAAUUACUGGCGACUCGUUACAAAAUGCGCCUCAAAUCGUGGAAUCGUACUGGCAGCAGAAGUCGUAAACUCGAGAGUACCUUAUGUCGUACUUAUUUUAACCGACGCUAUUACCGGACGCUCCGAGUUGCGCAACGGAUAUCUUUGGACAUUAGAGGAUCACCCCGAGGAUCAAAUUAAUAACAAUCGCAGAACGGAUGUUCAUACACCAGAACAUAUAUGUUGUACCUUGCUCGAUACGUUCCAUUCCUCUCAUUAAAUGGUAACGACCGGAUAAGAGAUUUCUAGUCUCUUGUACGCAUUUUCAGUCGCAAUGAAUAUCGCAAUUUCGCAAUCGCAGAACCAGCAUAUGUGAAAUAAAUGUUAAAAAAAUCCAUAAGUCACAGGAAUAAAUAUCCACUGGAGUAUAUGUUUGAUCUGUAUAUAGCCCUCCUAAAGGAGGAUAAAAUACCGAGUAAAAUGGACUAUUGCUUGCAAGAGACUUUCUUGGCGGCAUUGUCGGGGAAUUAUGUGUAAGCGAGUGCUCCUAGUGAUACGGACACAUCUGGGUUUGCGUAAACAUAAUUGCGCCACUGUAACGAGUCGGCAAAGGGAUGCGCAACCGUAAUAACAGCACCUGCUUGUACUUAGGGGAAUUAUCGUAAACGCAAUAUACAUAAUCCGCCGGUUGUACGUCGAGGAGGAGGCUGAUAAAUCGGAAGAUAGUAGUAGACGUCAGCCACGAGGGGACCGCCGGGAAUUUUCUUGCAUAUAAUUUAUACCUUCGUGAUAGUAAAUGUUUAACGUUUCGAGGAGGCUAGUCACUCCGGCGUGGAGCCUUUUUCCCGUAAAAAUGAAGAAAGUGGAAAAAAUGGUCCCGCGAUUGCGGGACCGGUAAUCGUCUAAUUUGGAGGAUCGUGACGACACGUAAAUGGAAUCGAGGAACGGUCAACGAAGUCAUCGCUGAUGACAUUGGCAUGGUUGUGAAAAGUGACCGCACACCGUCAAUUUCUCGCAAUUAGAGAAGGCAAACGGCUAAGUGACUCUCCUUAAAAUGAUAAUUCCGCGAACUCUGACGAGAAGGAGAGAUUUCGCCUAAAUGGAAAUAAACGAGUGCCUUGAAAAUUCGAAA